UUCUGAAAAUCGGAUUGGGACCAGCCAAUUGGACCGAUUCAACUGUGAACCGGCAAUACAAAUGGUUUAGUUCUUUGCUCAAAAUCAAUCAUUCUAAAACCGGGCACAAACUGCUGAAUUGGCCAGUUGGACCGAAUUGGAAACCGGCCGGUUGGACUGGAUUGGAAACCGGCCGAUUUAGAUGGAACGACCCCGUUUCGGUUAAAUUCCUAGGAAAAAAAAAAAAAAGGAACGCGUGCUCACUGCUCACUGCUCACUGCUCACUGCUGUGCCUCCCACUACCCCUCUUUCGCUCCUUCCUUUGUUCUUCACUAAUCAAGUAAUCAGAAAGCUCAACUCAGAAAGAAAAAGUGAAAACCCUAGGUAGUCUCCACUGCCGCCGUCCAUCGUUGUCCGAGGCUACUCUCUUCGUCCUUCGGCGUUCUCCAAGUCUCCAACCGCUGUCCGCUCUCAGAUUCACCAGUCGCAGGCGAGCAGCUUCUUCCUCGAGCGUCCGUUGUCUUCGUCUGCUGGAUCUGCUCGCCGUGAUGCUCGCGGUUUCAGACCGAAGAAAACCCUUCUCCAUUCAAAUCUCCUUCCCUCGAGUUCAGAGAUCAGAAGCUCAACCAAGAGAAAAACCCUAGCCUCCACCACCGCCGCAAGGAGCAGUCGUGUUUGCCACCGUCCUCCGCAGUCAGGGCUUGUCUCUUUGAGUCUUCGUCCGCCGCAUUGAACUACGGUUGAACUGGUUGAACUUCUAAACCGAUGAACUAGUAGCUCGAGCGGUUUGAUGACCGGUUCAGUUUUCAGAACCUUGAUUGUACUUGGGAGUUGUGACUGUCACGGUUUCAGAGUCUUUUUCACUGUUUCUCUGACGCCACCGCUAACCACUCAGAACCGCCGCCAAAACAACCAUGCUCUCCAUUGCAACCCUCAACCCUUCAACCCCAUUCAAUCACUCCCCAGGUUGCACUGUCCGCCGUAUCCUUAACCGUCACUCUCUCCUCCCAUCCACAUUCUCUCUACCAUCCAAAUCGAAUCCCUAUUGCCCUUCCUCCACCUACAGACCCCUCUGCGUGCGCGCCAUUGACGCCGCUCAGCUCUUCGACUACGAGUCAAAGCUCGCCAAGGAGUUCACUAUCUCCCAGCGCCUCAAGAUCGCAAUUGUCGGCUUCGGCAACUUCGGCCAGUUCCUUGCCGUCACAUUAGUCCGCCAGGGCCACACCGUCCUCGCCCACUCCCGCUCCGACCACUCCGCCGCAGCCAGAAAGCUUGGAGUAUCAUUCUUCCAAAACCCUGACGACCUAUGCGAGGAGCAUCCCGAAGUGAUCCUCCUCUGCUCCUCCAUAAUCUCAACGGAGCGCGUGCUCCUCACGCUCCCUCUCCAGCGCCUCAAGCGCAGCACUCUCUUCGUUGACGUCCUCUCCGUCAAAGAAUUCCCCAAGAAGCUCCUCCUUGAGCUCCUCCCCUUCGAUUUCGACAUCCUCUGCACUCACCCGAUGUUCGGACCUGAGUCCGCACCCGACGGAUGGACCGGCCUCCCAUUCGUCUUCGAGAAGGUUCGUAUCCUCGACGAGGAGCACCGUGUUUCUCGCUGUGAGAAGUUCCUCAAUGCGUUUGCCAGAGAAGGUUGCAGGAUGGUGGAGAUGAGUUGCGAGGAUCACGACCGUUACGCUGCCGGUUCGCAAUUCAUUACUCAUACCGUUGGAAGGAUUCUUGAAGGGUUGAUGCUGGAGUCGACGCCGAUUAAUACGAAAGGGUACGAGAGUUUGUUGGGGUUGGUGGAGAACACUGCUGGGGAUAGCUUUGAUUUGUAUUAUGGUUUGUUCAUGUUUAAUAAGAAUUCUUUGGAGGUGCUGGAGAAGCUUGAUUUGGCGUUUGAGGAUCUCAGGAAGCAGCUCAUUGCGCGGUUGCAUCACGUGGUUAGGAAUCAGUUGAUGGAGGACGGUGAAAGGUUGCAGCAGCUGGAUGGAAGUAACAGCCAUGCACUGCUCCGGCAAGCUGGUAAUGGAUCUGCAUUGCUGCAUUCCAGAUCCAAUGAUGAUGCUCUGCUACGUAGUUCCAUUUCAAACAAUUCUAGCCUGUCUGAUGAGAACACAAAGCUCAAGAUUGCAAUUGUUGGUUUUGGAAACUUUGGUCAGUUCCUUGCAAAAACUAUAGUUAGUCAAGGUCAUGAGGUUUUAGCGUAUUCUAGAUCAGACUAUUCUGAUGUGGCUCGGGAGUUGGGGGUUUCAUAUUUCAGCAACGCAGAUGAUCUUUGUGAGCAACAUCCAGAAGUGAUCUUACUCUGCACUUCCAUCCUUUCGACGGUUAAAGUUCUUAAAUCAUUACCUUUCCAAAGGUUGAAGAGAAGUACAUUGUUUGUUGAUGUACUAUCCGUCAAAGAGUUCCCUAGAAACCUCUUCCUUCAGCACUUGCCUCCUGAUUUUGAUGUUCUCUGCACACAUCCCAUGUUUGGGCCGGAGAGUGGAAAGAAUGGCUGGAAAAACCUUCCUCUUGUUUAUGACAAAGUUAGAAUUGGGAACGAAGAAUCAAGAAUAUUGCGAUGUUGUCAGUUUCUCGACAUUUUUGCCAGUGAAGGAUGCCGGAUGGUUGAAAUGUCUUGUGCUGAACAUGAUUGGCAUGCAGCUGGAUCCCAGUUUGUUACACACACAACAGGAAGAUUUUUAGAAAAAUUGGGGUUAGAGACAACACCAAUAAACACAAAGGGUUAUGAAACUUUGUUGAGUUUGGUGGAAAAUACCGUGGAGGAUAGUUUUGAUCUGUACUAUGGUUUAUUCUUGUAUAAUUUAAAUGCCAUGGAGCAACUAGAAAGAUUCGAUUUGGCUUUUGAAUCAUUGAAGAAGCAGCUUUUCGGACGAUUGCAUAGUAUCUACCGAAAGCAACUAUUUGAAAAUGAAGAACAGAUCCUUGCUUUGCCAGAGAGGUCUACGCUGCAAGAGAAAUCUGAAGACAGUGAUGUAUCAUCACCUCUUUCAAAAACUGUAGACACCAAAUGAAUUUAUCCCAAAGAUUUCCAUCUCAUUGUGCUAAAAAGUUAGACAGAGAGACACACAGAGGGAAGGAAACAACUUAAAAGGGAGAACUGAUUUUUACCCUGCUUUUUGGAUAAAGCUGUUUAGGUCAUCCCAUCUAUGCAUUGAAUAUUCAGAAGUAAUGAUCCUUAAUAAGCUCCCAGGAAAAAGGUGGUCCCCAUAAGAAUAAAAGAAAGAAGAGGUAACUUCUUGUGAAUAUUAUAGAGAUGUCUAUUCUUUCUUACCUUUUACUGCAUUUAACAAUAUUUUUGUUGUUGAGGUCCUGCAAGAAAUGAAAAUUAAAAGGUAUAAAUUCCUCUCUCUCACUUUUAUGCUACAUACAGAUUCUAAAUGUAUGAAUGUUAGUCUGAGAAGUCACUACAGCAUCAUUCCAUAAAUGGGAAAAAAGAAUAUCAUCACAGAAUGAUAUUCAGAGCUCAAGAAAAAAAAAAGUAUAACACAGCAGCAGAAACAUAUCAUUAUGUUGGAAUAAUUUGCAGCAGUGAAAAAUUUAAGCGGAAAAAUGAAUAAUAAUUAGACAGAUUCAAAUAGCACAGUACAAAGAAAGAAAGAAUACCAGGUUGAGAAGAGAAGCAUGACCCCAGCUACUUGUUCUAUAGUCACAUUUCUGAGGACGCCACCAAUCAAGAGUUGCAUCAAUCCCUCCAAUGUGAGAUUUCCCAUGUAUCAUUAUUCCUUUCACUGCUUCAUGUCCACUACUUUCUCUUCCAUGCAUAGCAUUCACUCCAGUGAAGCUCAACAAACUCACCACCAAGUAGAACAGACCCACAAGCCUUGUCAUCAGAGAACCCGCACUUUUUUUUUCCUUUUUUGGUUAACAGUGUGCACUUAAGUUGGAACCAUUUCAGCAUGUAUAAUGUUAGGGACUUGGGAGAACGAAUACACGCCCAAAUUUAAAUGGGAUUAAACCAAGGUUGCGAGAACCGGACCGGUCAAUAAACCGGUGAGGUCACUGGUUCAAUGGUUCACUGGUUCGACCGGGGUUCAACCGGUUUAAUUAAAUAUUAAAUAAAAUUAUUUAAAAACUUAAAAUAAUCUUAAAUAUAUAAAUUCAAUGAUCUCUAACUUAAUAAAAUUUAAUAUUUCACAUAAUAAAUUAUCCAUUACUUAAUAUUAGAGGUUCACAAACAACUUCAAACAGAAAAUAUUUCAUUCUAUAUAUUCCCCCUCCAUUGUAAGUAUUCAAGCAGAAAAUACAUGUAUAUUGAGCCUUGUUAUUCUUGUCAUACUUCACUGUAAAAUACUACCAAGCUGGAUCGGAUUUACCUCUGGAUGAACCAGUUUGAGAAUCUUGUGGCUGUGGGUUACUUUGUGAUUGUUCCAUCUAUGACAAUCAGAAAACCAAAGACCAGAAAACUUCAGACAACCAUGAAAAUAAUCAAAAUAUUCAUCAUGAAGCAGAAAAUGCAAAACAGAACAGAAGCAGGUAACAAGGUCACAGAAGCAACAAUGCAAAACAGAAGCAGCUACCAGAAGCAGAAAAAAAUAUUCAUCAUGAUUUGAUUCAUGAAGCAGUGAGCUAACAGAAGCAGCAAUGCAAAACAUAUUCAAAAUAAAAAACAUCAAUCCUGAAAAUCAAGGGGGGCUUAGAAAAUCAAAAUCCAAAAUCAAGCAUUGAAAAGGCGGUAACAGAAGCAGCAAUGCAAAACAGAACAGAAGCAGGUAACAAGGUCACAGAAGCAACAAUGCAAAACAGAAGCAGCUACCAGAAGCAGAAAAAAAUAUUCAUCAUGAUUUGAUUCAUGAAGCAGUGAGCUAACAGAAGCA